AAUUUGAUUUUAUAUAUAUCAUUUCUUUCUAAAAGAAAGAUAAAUCAUUUUAUAUCUUCAAAUUUGCAAAAUAUUGGCUAACAUUUCUUGUACAAUAUAUAGCUUCCAGAUUAAUCAAAGAGCAAUAAAUGGCAGAAAUGGAGAAAUGGGUCCAUGAAAUUAAAGAAAAUCUCAAGAAUGUUGACACUUCCAAGGAGAUGGAGCGCUGGAAAAAGAGGUCUAUCUACAGAGUACCUGUCUGCAUCAGUGAUUUAAGCAAAGCAGCUUACAGGCCUGAGGUAGUCUCCUUAGGUCCUUACUACCAUGGGGAAGAAUAUUUAGAGCCUAUGGAGGAGCAGAAACACCGAGCACUUCUUCAUUUUCUUAGGAGGUCAAAUAAAUCCACUGACUCCAUUGUUGGAACUUUCAAAACAAUGGUGCAAGAUUUAAAAGACUCCUAUGAUCAGCUUGAUCUUGAGAAGUGGCAAGAUGAUAAGUUCAUUCAACUUAUGGCUGUUUGACAAAGAUGAUCCUUGAUGGCUGUUUCUUGCUGGAAAUCUUUCACUUCCCUUCUCGAAGAUUCGAUCACUACGCUUCCAAUGAUCCCGUCUUCAGUGAGCAUGGGAUGCUCAAUAUGAUGACCCAUAUUGUUCGUGAUAUGUUGAAACUUGAAAAUCAAUUGCCAAUGUGUGUUCUUUACAAGCUGGCCGAUGCUGAAACUGUUCAGGUUAAGGCCAUCUCUAUCCAAACUGUCCACAUAUGUGUUAGUCAGGCUAUGGGGUGCCUUUUAUUAUGGUACACAUAAAAUUCUUACACUGAAGGAGCUAAUAUACUUCACUACUGCCUACAAAAUUAAGAUUUUUAAACGUCGGCAUUUGGCGGCUUAACAAUAAAUUAUUUUUUCUGCCUGCAGGGUAAAGAGUUGGUCAACAGGCUUAUAUUCAGUUUCUUUUUCCCAAAACAAAUUUCUCACCUCUAGGAGAACGCUUGCAUAUUUUGGAUGCAUAUCGACAGAGCCUGCUUGAUGGUUGCACAUCACAAACAGAUACAGAUCGCGAACAUGAAGGAAGCAUCACCCAAUCUGCAACAGAUCUCGACGAAUCUGGAAUUCAAUUUCAGAAAAGUAAAACUACAAGUAUCGAAGACAUUUCUUUCCAGGGUGGUGUCCUGAAGCUCCCAUUUGCAGUUGUGGAUGAUGCUUUUGAGUCCACAUUUCUGAACCUAUUAGCCUUUGAGCGUUUACAUGCUGGAGUAGGCAGUGAGGUAACAUCCUAUAUCUACUUCAUGGACUCUAUCAUUGUCCCAAAAAGCGAUGUUGCUCUCCCACAGGGCUCAUCGAAAAUGCCAUUGGAAGCGACUCUGCUGUUGCCCUGGUGUUCCACUUGCUUGCCAAAGGUACAGCGCUGGACCCAAAAAGCAGCCUACGAGAGGUGGUCAAGAAAAUUGAUGAGCACUGCCAGAAGCCCUGGAAUCAGUUGCAUUGCUAUUUGGUUCACACUUCUGUCCGUCCAUAACCGGUGUCCCAUACUUUCUCUUACUGCUGCAAUUAUCCUUUUCGCCCUGGCGUCUUCACAGACCUUGUAAACUACUUUUCCUUACUAUCAUCCAAGAGGAAAUUAAUGAAGUGAGAGUUUUCUGCAAUCCUCUUUUCACUGACAAAUUUUCUCUCCAAUUAAUUUCCACUAAUUAAUCUGAAUGAUUUUGAACUUUCUGCGUGGUUAUUGUUAGAGAUCUGGGGUGCCCAAAAAACAACGGGGAGAAUUUUUCUUGAUGAGCUUGGUGAAAUAACACAAUCUGAAUUUGACACUGUGUCUAACUUAAAAUCUUAAAGCAAUGGGUCUACAGGUCAUUUUCACUUAUAUGUCUCUCACUUAUCCCAUCUCCAUCUUUUUCUAACAUGGGAAUCCCGCACUUGUAUAUUCCUAAUAAUCUCUCCUUCAAGUGAAUCUAUUCUACAUUGGAAUUAUUGGGCUUGCUCCAAGAGCUCUAAUUACUCCACCAAACCCUACUAGAGCAUGUACCUCUAAGAGCUAUGUCAGAGUAGUCUCCACUCUAUCGAUUUGCUAUUCUCUAGAAGAGUGUCUCUACUCCAUUGAGUCUACCAGGAGUCUCUUGACUCUUCCUAUCCAUGUGUCAGAGCACCAUGAGAAUCACCGACCUCCAUUUUCAUACUAUCUUUGUCAAAUUAUUGGCUUUGAUACCACUUCUUAUGAAAAUUACACCGGUAUUGGUUUUUGACAAGAGGUUCUUAAGAACCUGCUGGUAAGGCAUCCAUUUCGGUUGGCUUCCUCAAUGCUUCCAUGCAUCAAGUCAAGCAUGUCACCAUAUGUUACUCCUGGGCACCUCAGAAUGUCUAUCAAAUUGUAGGUCAUUACUCCGUUCAUUGCCUUUGUAUUGAAUGCCGUUUGUCUGUUUCCUGGCACCACUUGGAGCGUAAUUGUCUUCCCAUGCUUUCGUUUGUCUGUUGUACACAUACGGAAGAUCGAGGAUGGUUCCGCAGUGACAAGCAUCAACGAUAGCAUGAAGGGUGACACCUUUUGGAAGCGGCCGAACAAUGGCGGAAUUAAUAUCAUAAUCAAGAAUCAUCCCUUCUCUUAAGAAAUCAACUGGACAAAUAGUU
rnacentral:misc_RNA from 1 species